rnacentral:rRNA from 1 species
UACGUAGGAUGCAAGCGUUGUCCGGUUUUAUUGGGUUUAAAGGGUGAGUAGGCGGCCUAUUAAGUUAGUGGUAAAAACGUUCGGCUUAACCGGAUACCCGCCAUUGAUACUGAUAGACUUGAGUGCGACAGAGGGUGUUGGAAUGUGUGGUGUAGCGGUGAAAUGCUUAGAUAUCACGCAGAACACCAAUUGCGAAGGCAGAUGCCUAUGUCGUAACUGACGCUGAGGCACGAAAGCGUGGGGAGCAAACAGG